rnacentral:rRNA from 1 species
UUAUAAGAGACAGCAGUAGCCACGGUAAUACAGAGGGUGCGAGCGUUAAUCGGAUUUACUGGGCGUAAAGCGUGCGUAGGCGGCUUCUUAAGUCGGAUGUGAAAUCCCUGAGCUUAACUUAGGAAUUGCAUUCGAUACUGGGAAGCUAGAGUAUGGGAGAGGAUGGUAGAAUUCCAGGUGUAGCGGUGAAAUGCGUAGAGAUCUGGAGGAAUACCGAUGGCGAAGGCAGCCAUCUGGCCUAAUACUGACGCUGAGGUACGAAAGCAUGGGGAGCAAACAGGAUUAGAUACCCCUGUAGUCCCUGUCUCUUAUAC